GAACGACUCAAACCCGAAGACUCAAAAGAUGAACUAAUCAAUUCUCCUUCCGGCUCAGACUGCAUAGGUUAACAUUACGGGGAUGUCACGUGAUGAACGAACGACUCAAACCCGAAGACUCAAAA